rnacentral:rRNA from 1 species
GACGAACGCUGGCGGCGUGCUUAACACAUGCAAGUCGAACGGAAAGGCCUCUUUCGGGGGGUACUCGAGUGGCGAACGGGUGAGUAACACGUGAGUAACCUGCCCUUGACUUUGGGAUAACUUCAGGAAACUGGGUCUAAUACCGGAUAGGAGCUCCUGCUGCAUGGUGGGGGUUGGAAAGUUUCGGCGGUUGGGGAUGGACUCGCGGCUUAUCAGCUUGUUGGUGGGGUAGUGGCUUACCAAGGCUUUGACGGGUAGCCGGCCUGAGAGGGUGACCGGCCACAUUGGGACUGAGAUACGGCCCAGACUCCUACGGGAGGAAGCAGUGGGGAAUAUUGAACAAUGGGUGGAAGCCUGAUGCAGCAACGCCGUGUGCGGGAUGACGGCCUUCGGGUUGUAAAACGCUUUCGCUCAUGACGAAGCGUUGUGUGACGGUAGUGGGUAAAGAAGCACCGGCUAACUACGUG